UACGUAGGGUGCAAGCGUUAUCCGGAAUUAUUGGGCGUAAAGAGCUCGUAGGCGGUUUGUCGCGUCUGCCGUGAAAGUCCGGGGCUCAACUCCGGAUCUGCGGUGGGUACGGGCAGACUAGAGUGAUGUAGGGGGAGUAGUGAAUUCCUGGUGUAGCGGUGAAAUGCGCAGAUAUCAGGAGGAACACCGAUGGCGAAGGCAGGUCUCUGGGCAUUAACUGACGCUGAGGAGCGAAAGCAUGGGGAGCGAACAGG
rnacentral:rRNA from 1 species